UACGUAGGGUGCAAGCGUUGUCCGGAAUUAUUGGGCGUAAAGAGCUCGUAGGCGGUCUGUCGCGUCUGCUGUGAAAACUCAGGGCUUAACCCUGAGCUUGCAGUGGGUACGGGCAGACUAGAGUGCGGUAGGGGAGACUGGAAUUCCUGGUGUAGCGGUGAAAUGCGCAGAUAUCAGGAGGAACACCGGUGGCGAAGGCGGGUCUCUGGGCAGUAACUGACGCUGGAGGAGCGAAAGCGUGGGGAGCGAACAGG
rnacentral:rRNA from 1 species